AGUGAACGCUGGCGGUAGGCCUAACACAUGCAAGUCGAACGGCAGCACAGUAAGAGCUUGCUCUUACGGGUGGCGAGUGGCGGACGGGUGAGGAAUACAUCGGAAUCUACUUUUUCGUGGGGGAUAACGUAGGGAAACUUACGCUAAUACCGCAUACGACCUACGGGUGAAAGCAGGGGAUCUUCGGACCUUGCGCGACUGAAUAAGCCGAUGUCGGAUUAGCUAGUUGGCGGGGUAAAGGCCCACCAAGGCGACGAUCCGUAGCUGGUCUGAGAGGAUGAUCAGCCACACUGGAACUGAGACACGGUCCAGACUCCUACGGGAGGCAGCAGUGGGGAAUAUUGGACAAUGGGCGCAAGCCUGAUCCAGCCAUACCGCGUGGGUGAAGAAGGCCUUCGGGUUGUAAAGCCCUUUUGUUGGGAAAGAAAAGCAGCAGGUUAAUACCCCGCUGUUCUGACGGUACCCAAAGAAUAAGCACCGGCUAACUUCGUG
rnacentral:rRNA from 1 species